CGGAGGGUGCAAGCGUUAAUCGGAAUUACUGGGCGUAAAGCGCACGCAGGCGGUCUGUCAAGUCGGAUGUGAAAUCCCCGGGCUCAACCUGGGAACUGCAUUCGAAACUGACAGGCUAGAGUCUUGUAGAGGGGGGUAGAAUUCCAGGUGUAGCGGUGAAAUGCGUAGAGAUCUGGAGGAAUACCGGUGGCGAAGGCGGCCCCCCUGGACAAAGACUGACGCUCAGGUGCGAAAGCGUGGGGAGCAAACAGGAUUAGAUACCCUGGUAGUCCACGCUGUAAACGAUGUCGACUUGGAGGUUGUUCCCUUGAGGAGUGGCUUCCGGAGCUAACGCGUUAAGUCGACCGCCGUGGGGACGUACGGCCGCAAAGGUUA
rnacentral:rRNA from 1 species